rnacentral:lncRNA from 1 species
GCUGCACAUUUCUCAUAUGAAAAGAUGUCUCUGUCACUGAAAUACAAUAUCUGAGUGAUAAACUCAUGUUUUCAGUCCAUAGACCACUGGCUUCAGGCAGGAAGGACAACGGUGGAAGGGUCUGGCAAGGACAGCUGUUCACAUCCUGAUAGUCAGGAAGCAACGAGAGAAGGGAGGAGCGGAGAGGGAGAGGAGCCCUCCCAGACAACCCCCUACCCAGUGACCCAUGUCUUGUAACAAGAUCCCAUCUCCUCAGGUGCUGAACUUACACAGUGGAUUUGCAUAGCACCCCACCAUCCAAUCGUCUUCCGAAAGCCCUGCCCUAUGAGCUCAUGAGGCUUUUGGGGGAACUUUCUUGACCCCUACAAUGAAGGUGGUGGCAGCAGUGGAGGGCAGAUGAAUCACGAAAUGCAGUGGAAUGUGCUCCAUGGGCAAAAGCAUCUCGGGAUUGCAAUGGGGAGAGCCAGCCCUAGGUGGCAGAAGUUGAUUUCCUCUCCUUCCUCUCCAAAUCUUAAAGGACAGAAGGAAUAUGUAAGUAACAAAGACGUUUGCAGCUUAGUGGUGGACACGCA